UGUGCUUGCACAGAGGGAACUGACGAUAGUUAAGAUUGCGUGUGUUUGUGCGUGCAUGGGUGGGUGUGUGGGUGGGUGGCUUCAGGCUGUAGGCUUCAGGCUGCUGGUCUGGGGCCCAGUGUAGUGUGUCUCUCUAUCUGUGUUUUCAUGUUUGUGUGAUUUGAAUUGUGAUUUUGUGGAUUCAAAUAAAGUAUUUAAAACGUGUGUGUUUGUUUCUCUCCCUCUGUGUGUUGUGGUGUUCAGAGGAGAGGGCUCUGUGGCGGUCCUCCUCUCUGUGCUCCGGUCCCCAUGGAGAAACCCCCCAAUGUCCUCUCUCUCUCUCUCUCUCUCUCUCUCUCUCUCUCUCUCUCUCUCUCUCUCUCUCUCUCUCUCUCUCUCUCUCCAGCUACACCAGGAGAUGUUUUGAUGUCAGCUGCAUCUCUUUGUCUCUUCCUCCCUCUCCCCUCAUCUUUUUCUUUAUCGUUUUCUCUUUUCCCGUUCCCUCCCUCUCUCGCUGUCUCUCUGCAAAGCUCAGGUUGUGGUGCUUACAGGACUCGGCAGCGCCACUGUACUCCUCACCAUUUGAUCAUUAAUUUAUCACAGCUCCAACAGUUUGUUUGACAGGUGCAGUAACUUUCAUCUGGUGGGCUUGGCAGCAUUUGCUGCUCUCUCUCUCUCUCUCUGACUCCCCCUCUCUCCCCCUGUCUUUUGCUUCUCCUCCUCUCUCCCCCCUCCCAUCUCUCCUCACCCUUCUCUCUCUCUCCACUUUCUCUCAGCCCUGGUAAGGUGAAAGUAAAGACAGGAGCCACCUCUCCCUAACAGGAUCCAUUUGCCCCUCUCUGGUAAUGAGAAGACAAACAUACACUGUUCCUCUCUGAUACAUCAUGUUUUAUUGAUACAGUCAGCUUAGGGAAUACAUGAAUGGGAACAGGAGGAUCAUUUGGGGGCCUUGUAGGCCUAUGUGUAACUAGCUGGUGAUGUUGUUGUUAAUCGACUUGUGGUGCUAUAGCAACAGCAUAGCUCUUUCUUUGUAUCUCUCUACCAUCUCUCUCAGUAUAUGUAUUUAUAUCACUGAUGUAUCUUUGUCUUGUUACCCCUCCAUCUUUCUUCCUGAAACUAUCUUUUCUCUUUCUUCCACAAAGAUUAAUCUACCUUGUCUGAUUGGUAACCUGAACAGGAAGGUUGUGUGGAGAGACUCCAUCAUGAUGAGUUGAUCAUCCCUGAUCAGAGAAAGGCCCUUAGUUCAUCCAUUAUAUUGACCCAGAGUAAAGGUUCAUACCAUUAUAUUGACCCAGAGUAAAGGUUCAUAUCAGUAUAUUGACCCAGAGUAAAGGUUCAUAUCAGUAUAUUGACCCAGAGUAAAGGUUCAUACCAGUAUAUUGACCCAGAGUAAAGGUUCAUACCAGAAUAUUGACCCAGAGUAAAGGUUCAUACCAGUAUAUUGACCCAGAGUAAAGGUUCAUACCAUUAUAUUGACCCAGAAAAAGGUUCAUGCCAUUAUAUUGACCCAGAGUAAAGGUUCAUACCAUUAUAUUGACCCAGAAAAAAGGUUCAUACCAUUAUAUUGACCAAGAGUAAAGGUUCAGACCAGGAUGUUGACCCAGAGUAAAGGUUCAGGACAGAAAGCCUAUAGCAACAGCAUAGCUCUUUCUUUGUAUCUCUCUACCAUCUCUCUCAGUAUAUGUAUUUAUAUCACUGAUGUAUCUUUGUCUUGUUACCCCUCCAUCUUUCUUCCUGAAACUAUCUUUUCUCUUUCUUCCACAAAGAUUAAUCUACCUUGUCUGAUUGGUAACCUGAACAGGAAGGUUGUGUGGAGAGACUCCGUCAUGAUGAGUUGAUCAUCCCUGAUCAGAGAAAGGCCGUUAGUUCACUCUGCUCUCUGUGGGAAUGUGCUAACAUACACCGCCUGUGUCCAGCUCAGCCCACCCACUCCUUACCGUCAGACUGUCCUUCUCUCUUUUUCUCUGUAUUUUUCACUGUUCCUGUCUUUUUCUUCACAUGCCAUACUUUCCCUCUCACUUCCUCUUUUAAAUCCAUCUCUGUCUACCAACUGUAAACCAUUAAACAGCCCCUCCUUCCUCUCCCAUAUCUAUCUUCACUCCACUAUUAAGGCAUUCUCUCUCUGUCCUAAUCCUGUGAACAACAUUUUUAUUCCUGGAUACUGGAUGUUGUAUGAGAUCAAGGGCCCCUAUAGCCUCAUAGGUUCUCAUAGAUCAAGGGCCCCUAUAGCCUCAUAGGUUCUCAUAGAUCAGUGGCCCCUAUAGCCUCAUAGGUUCUCAUAGAUCAAGGGCCCCUAGAGCCUCAUAGGUUCUCAUAGAUCAAGGCCUCCAGAAGAGCAGCUUAGGAUACCCUCAUAUCUCUCCCACCCUCCAUCAUUUACUCUCUCCCUCCAUUCUUUACAUCCAUAAUUACUCCCUCUCCCUCUCUCUCGCUUCCUCCCUCUCCCUCUCUCUCUCUUGCUCUCUCUUGCUCUCUCCCCCUCCCUCUCCGUCUCUCUCUCUCUCUCUCGCUCUC
rnacentral:lncRNA from 1 species